UACGGAGGGCGCAAGCGGUAUCCGGAAUUACUGGGUUUAAAGGGUGCGUAGGCGGCUUGAUAAGUCAGAGGUGAAAGCCUAUCGCUUAACGAUAGAAUUGCCUUGGAUACUGUAAAGCUUGAAAGGGGUUGAGGUCAGCAGAAUGUGGCAUGUAGCGGUGAAAUGCAUAGAUAUGCCAUAGAACACCGAUUGCGAAGGCAGCUGGCUGGGCCUACUUUGACGCUGAGGCACGAAAGCGUGGGGAGCGAACAGG
rnacentral:rRNA from 1 species